CUAUAAAAGAUGUAACAGAUGCAAACUGUAACACAAGGGCCAUUAACCCUUUCUCUGCCAAGCACACUCAGUCCCCACGCCCCGCACCUAUUGUCUCCUGUGCUAGAAGCUUUGCAGAAAACCUGGAA
ensembl:misc_RNA